rnacentral:rRNA from 1 species
AUUGACCGCUGGCGGCGUGCCUAACACAUGCAAGUCGAGCGAGAUUUUGAGGAGUGGAGACUUCGGUCAAAGCGAGUCAAAUGAAAGCGGCGGACGGGUGAGUAACGCGUGAGCAAUCUGCCCCAUACAAAGGGAUACCCACUGGAAACGGUGAUUAAUACCUUAUAAGACCACAGAGUCGCAUGGCUCAGGGGUCAAAGAUUUAUCGGUAUGGGAUGAGCUCGCGUCUGAUUAGCUAGUUUGUAAGGUAAUGGCUUACCAAGGCGACGAUCAGUAGCCGACCUGAGAGGGUGAACGGCCACACUGGAACUGAGACACGGUCCAGGCUCCUACGGGAGGCAGCAGUGGGGAAUAUUGCACAAUGGGCGCAAGCCUGAUGCAGCAACGCCGCGUGAAUGAUGAAGGCCUUCGGGUCGUAAAGUUCUGUCCAAAGGGAAGAAUACAGUGACGGUACCUUUGGAGGAAGCCCCGGCUAACUACGUGCCAGCAGCCGCCGUAA